GUUGACCUGGGCUGUGGGAAGGCUCUGCUGGUGAAAGAAAAUGGAGAGUUUUAUGCCAUGGGCCACAAGUGUCCUCACUACGGCGCCCCACUGGUGAAAGGGGUCUUGUCCAAAGGCCGGGUCCGUUGCCCCUGGCACGGGGCUUGCUUCAACAUCGGCACUGGUGAUAUCGAAGACUUCCCAGGGCUGGAUAGUCUCCCCAAAUUCCAGGUGAAAAUCGAGAAGGAAAAAGUGUACAUCCGAGCAAGCAAACAGG